UUAAGCUCACAGAAGCAGGGACUAUUAGAGAGAGAAUAGGGACCUCAUACACCAGAUUGAAGGACAGAAGAAACUCAAAGGAAGAACAUCUUAGAGGAUGGAGUCAAGAAUUUUGGAAAACUGGACAAGAGAACCCUUCCAAGACAUAAGAACUGCAAUUUAAUACGGGAACAUUCUCUGUGCCUAAGCUCUAGAGGCUGCCUGUGUUUCUUGUCUUGUGGCCCCAUUUCACUCUGACCUCUGCUUCCAUUGUCACAUGGCCUUCUCUGCCCUGACCCUCCUCUCUGCUUUUAAGGACUCUUGUGAGUACACCGGGCCUGCCCAAGUAAUGUAGAGGAAUCCUCUGAUCUGAAGAUCCUUAACUAAAUCACACCUGUAAAGUCCCUUUUGCCAUGUAAGGAAACAUUUGGAGGUCUGGGAAUUAGGACAUGGACAUCUUUGGGACACCAGUAUUCAGUCUACUACAAGCUUUAAGAAAUGUUUAUUUUCAGUUAUUUACAGUAUAAAGUGGUAUGCAGUUAUCAAUAAGAUAAACAAUGACAUGUCAUUAUUUGGAUUUUCCUCUCUGACAUCAGACUAAUGACCAUUAUCUUAGUAACUUCCAACAAUAGGGUAAUUUCUAUAAUAGUGAAUCUGACUUUUGGUUAAAACAAUAUCAUAAAGUUGUAUGGUAGAGCAAAUGAUUGGGUGAUGAGAUUACAUAUGAUUCCAGGACUCCUUGGUCCUUAGGGACUCUAUACCAUGAAAAGUAUCCUGUACUGAGUGAGUGUUAUACUCAAUGAAGACAGUGCUUGAAAGGUGGACUGAAAAUUUAUUUCAAGGAAUCUGAAAUCCAUAGCUUUUACAGAAAUGUUGUCAUUAGAACUAUAGGUUUAUCAUAUGUACCAAAUAAUUAUCAUAUGGUUUAGUGGAUGAAGCCAAAUAUGGCACUCAGAAGAAACAAAUGAAUAAUUUAAGUUCAAUGUGCAUCUGAAGUAUGAUAUGCUACCAGAAAUGUUAUUGGAUAUAAAGCUUGCUCAAAAAUAAUAUUGUCUACAUCAAGAAAAAUAAUUGUGCCAAACUUGGAUCUGAUCAUCCACAAUCUAGAAUACUUCAUUUGUUUCUAAGUGCUAUGUUUUACAAGGAAUGUUUAAAAACAGGGCAACAUUUGAGAAGAAAGUUCGCAGAAAAAUAAUAGAGCCAUAUGAGUAAUCUAAACAGGAAAUUAUUGAAUAAGUAUAUUUGUGAGGAAGGUAUGAUAGCUCUUUUCAAAUAUGCAAAAUUUGAAAGGGUGUGGUUAAGGGGGGAAGACAGAUUAAUGGGUCAAAUUCAGGGGGAGAUUGAUCUUGCCUUGAUAAAAAACCCAAAACUAAAGCUCAGAAUUGUCUUUAGAUUAAUAUGAGUUUGAAUUGUAAUAAUUCCUACUUUUAAAUUCCUUCAAGUUACCAUAAAGUUCCAGAAAUUUAACCUGAGACAGUUCAAAAUACAUCUUAUUUGAAUUAAAUUUGAAAUAAACAGUCGCACUAUAUUUGAAAAAUAUCCAAAACACUGAUGCCUGUAGCAACUGAUUUAUAUAACAUUUAUCAAGCAGAUACUUAACUCAAACAUCCAAGAUAUUUCUUUAAGAUAGGCAGGUAAAUAAUAGGUUAGGAAUAAAAAGUUUAGUUAUAUUCUAAAGUGUGAUACUGAUUUCUUAGUGCUUCAUGAUUACUGAAGCAGACAUUUUACAAGUCAUGCAAAAUUACAAUUAUGACUUUGAGUAGUUUGCAGUCCUCAAUUAUGACACAGGUGUUUAUAUUCCUCUUGUAAAAACUAAAUUGAUGUAAGCCAUCAAAUCUGUCAUCUAUUCAUUAAUAACAUCUAUGGAUAAGUUGGCUCUUUGAAUAUAAUACAGCUGAUGCUCAGAUAUUUUCUUUUAGUGCCUUUUGUAUAUAUCUCUGUUAUUGCAUUGUAUUAAAAUACCUUGUUUAAAAUGAUUUCUGUUAUAUUGACUACAUGAUUAAUUAUGGGAAGGCAGAAAUAUACUUUACUCUGCUCUUUGUCCACAUUUCCUCAUCUAAUUCUUGGUACAAAACAGGAUUCAAUAAAUGUUGAAUAAGUUGUAGUAAUAAAGUUUAUUAAACAUAAAAAAAAAAAAAAAAA
rnacentral:lncRNA from 1 species